rnacentral:rRNA from 1 species
UUAAACGUCCACACCACGUUGAAUACACUGGUUCUCGUCCGAUCACCAAAAUUAAGCAACGUCGGGCGCGGUCAGUAAUUAGAUGGGUCAGAGGACCGCCUGGGAACACCGCGUGACGUUGGCU